rnacentral:rRNA from 1 species
GAGGAUGGGAUUGCCCAGAACAUGCCUGAUCUCAUCUGAUCUCAGAAGCUAAGCAGGGUCGGGCCUGGUUAGUACUUAGAUGGGAGACUACCUUGGAAUACCAGGUACUGUAGGCA